CAUCAAAGUUGAAGAUAAUAAUGGUGUCCUUUUGGUCUGCUGGUUUGAUCACUAUCUGGUGCUUGGAUUGUACAGCAGUCUUCUAAGUGGUGAGAGGAGAUAGAGGAUUGCAGACUUGGACAAUUUAUUGGAUCAGAUGUGGGACGUGGGGGCGUGGCAGAAAGGUGGUGGUACUCUUGCUCACCAGUAGGUGGUGUUUGAGCUAGCUUCAUCCCUUUGUUUUUCCCACGCAGAAAGGUGAGGGGAGUUGCUUCUCUGUCUGCUUGAGACCCUCAGGGCUCGGCUCAGCCAGCUUUUGCAGUGAACUUUAUGGAAUAAGAUGAACAUUGAAAAGCAUGAUUGGAGAGCCAUCCGUUUGCUGUCGCACCAACAUGCAGCGGUGAGGGGACAGCAUUGCCUUACGUCAUUGAUGUGAGAUUCAAACAAAAGGAUUUGCUCAUCCCUGGAGAGCUCUUUUUAACAUUACUGGGGGUUAUCAUCAGUGUUAUUCACAACCCGGCCAGGGCCCAAAGGUGUGACACAGGCCCUGACGUCAGAGCAGCCCUACGAGGAGUUGGAAAUUACAUGAGUUAGGCCAGUGUCCUGCCCAGAUGGUUUGAUUUUGGGGCUGCCUUCCUCCCACCCCAUGGAAAGUGUUUUGCCCCCUGCCCUGGCUGCCCAGGGAGAGCUGUUCUGAGCGUCCUCCACCCCAG